rnacentral:lncRNA from 1 species
ACAAACAGCCAACUGCCAGAAUAUGAAAGUUAUUGGGAUUAAUUGCCUUAAAUGCUGGACAGAGUCGUACAGUGACGUGAUCGUUAUACUCGACUAAGUAGGGAAGAGGCACUGGCCGGUAAGAGAGAGGAAGAGACACCGGCUGGGAGCGUGUAUCCACGCUAUUCGCCAGACCGUGUGUAUGUUGUUCCAUGAACACAUUGCACUAUUAUUUUAAAAUAGUUGCACCAUUAUGAACUUUGUUCUACUAUUUUACCUUUCGAUGCACUAUUAUUUUGAAAUAGUUGCACCAUUAUGAACAUUGUUCUACUAUUUUACCUUUCGAUGCACUAUUAACUUCGUUCCGCGCCUUUUAUUUCGCCUCAGCGGAGAUACACUAUAGCGGUCGGAGCGCAUAUCCACGCUAUUCGCUAGACCGUGUGUUUGCUGUUCCAUGAACCCAUUGCACUAUUAUUAUGACAUAGUGGCACCCUUAUGAACUUAGUUGUACUAUUUUACUCGACGUUGUACCAUUAAAUGCGUCGCGUCCGCUGUACGCAACCCAACCUCCCUCGAUCAUUACUCGGAACUCGGACCACAUCCGCCCUAGCUAUUCGCCGGCCCCGCUGUUUCCCGUUCGCCUUUAAGACUUUACGAAAUUUUCGAAAGCUAUUGACAAAUAAUGCGCGGCCCGAUAAUAGUACAACGCGAAGAGCUACCAAGGAUAAAUGGUGCAACAGACGUCUAUAAAAGUGCAUUCGUAGCUUCGUUCCUAUGCAACCAAACAAUAACAGUCAAAAUUUACUUAUUUUAUAUCAUAAUGUAAACUUAAGUUAAAAGUGCAAAUGAAAGGACAUCGGGGCCGU